UGAGGGUGAAGGAGCUUCAUCCCUCUUUAAAACAAACUGGCAUAACUCUCUCGUGUUAUAAUGGACGCUUCCUGAGCUGCUGACUGUAUUAAUGUCUUUUUAAAAGCUUCUUUGUAAAGAGGAGAAAUGGUCGACUUCACACCGAAAAGUGUCACAUUCAUUUUAAUUGGAGAAAAAAGUCCUUGUCCGGCAGAUGCUGAGUGCUGACCCAGUGCAGUGAGGGAGGAACAAGGCCGGCAGCAGACAGUAGCUGUACAGUCCCCCUGCUUGACCAGUCAGAGGAAAUUAGUUACAGUCUUGUCUCAUCGCUGUAAUUCCCGUACGGAUUCGGGAGAGGCGAAGUUCGAGAGCCGUGCGUCCUUCGAAACACAACCCAACCCAACCAAGCCAAGCCGCACUGCUUCUUGACACAAUGCCCACUUAACCAAAAAGCACCAAUGUGUCAGAGGAAACACCGUACACAUGGCAACCGUCUCAGCGUGCACUGCGCCCGGCACGCCACAGGAGUUGCUAGUGUGUGAUGUGUUAAGGACAUCCCUGCCGGCCAAACCCUCCCCUAAGCCGGACCAGUUGUGCACCGCCCCAUGGGUCUCCCAGUUGCGGCCGACUGCGACAGAGCUUGGACUCGAACCCAGAAUCUCUAGUGGCACUGCAAUGUGAUGCAGUGCCUUAGAACACUGUGCCACUCGGGAGGCCCUAAGGUCUAUUCUAAUUUUGAGGUGAUUCUAUGUCCCUCAUGUAUUUAAUUAUAGACUAAAAGCUAUAUUAACAUUCAUAUCUAAGAGCCCUCCAAACCAUGUGCAUAUUAUCAUAUAUUUAGACUAAUUCAACUAACUGUUGUAGUUUCCGGUUCUUCAUUAAAUGUUUGGCAGCAAUCAAAUACAAUUCUUUUUUUGUUUUCAAGAAAGCAUAUAUUCAAAUACAGUCAAACACGAUUUGGUUUUCUGAUAGGUAUUCAAAUUCCUUUCAAAUAUAUAUUUAUUUCUGAGACCUGUAUUUUAAUAUCAGAGAAAAUCAUUGCCUUUUAGUUGAAACUAUAUAAAUUAUAUUCGACUACCUCAAGUAUUUUGAAAAGUUGGUAUUUUCAAAUAAACAACUAUCUCGUUCCCAGGUCUGAUCAGUUCCUGUCUUGAGAUAAUCAUCCGCACCAUUAAGAGUUUCAUACGUACUGCCGAGACACUACAUCUGCAGAGCUGAGAGAAAAAAGUCAGCCACCAUAAACUAAUGAAGUACAAGCCUGUUUAUCUUGGCAAGUCUGGGAGAAAUAUUUAAUUGCUUCGGAGAAAGUCUAAUGCCUGCCGAACCAUAACUGUUCAGGCUCCAACACUGUUAUUUAAAACACUGUUGGAUGAUUGUGCAAUGUGGUAACUGUGAAGCUUUGAAGGGUUUAUGAUUACCAGGAUGUAGCCUGUUUUCCAAACACUGUUAGAUCAUCUAUUCCAUGAUGCAUUUCAUGGAGGUAUGAAAAUAGCUCCAAUGGUGCCAUGUAUUGCAUAGGAUUCUCAAAUAUGGCAUACAUGCAAUACUAUUCAAUGAGUCAUUCAAUUUUGUCAUAGUGAAUAAACUGCUUUACAAUUCAGGUAUUGGAA